GCACUGGCUGUCCUCAGGGCUGUGUGCUGAGCCCAUUGCUCAUGCUCUAUGCCUACGACUGCACCUACUCUCACUCCAGCAACAAUAUCAUCAAGUUUGCUGAUGAUACCACCGUGGUGGGACUCAUUUCUGGUGAGGAUGAGACCGCCUAUAGAGACAAGGUGCAGCAGCUGUCUGUAUGGUG